GUCCCCCUAGCUCAGCGGUUAGAGCGCGUGGCUGUUAACCACGAGGUCGCCGGUUCAAAUCCGGCGGGGGACG
rnacentral:tRNA from 1 species